UGAUGGCCAGGCUGUCUCCACCCGAGACUCAGUGAAAUUGAACUCGCUGUGAAGAUGCAGUGUACCCGCGGCAAGACGGAAAGACCCCGUGAACCUUUACUAUAGCUUGACACUGAACACUGGUCCUUGAUGUGUAGGAUAGGUGGGAGGCUUUGAAGCGUGGACGCCAGUCUGCGUGGAGCCGACCUUGAAAUACCACCCUUUAAUGGCUGGUGUUCUAACGUAGACCCGUAAUCCGGGUUGCGGACAGUGUCUGGUGGGUAGUUUGACUGGGGCGGUCUCCUCCCAAAGAGUAACGGAGGAGCACGAAGGUUGGCUAAUCCUGGUCGGACAUCAGGAGGUUAGUGCAAUGGCAUAAGCCAGCUUGACUGCGAGCGUGACGGCGCGAGCAGGUGCGAAAGCAGGUCAUAGUGAUCCGGUGGUUCUGA
rnacentral:rRNA from 1 species